GGGUUGUGAGGUUAAGCGACUAAGCGUACACGGUGGAUGCCCUGGCAGUCAGAGGCGAUGAAGGACGUGCUAAUCUGCGAUAAGCGUCGGUGAGGUGAUAUGAACCGUUAUAACCGGCGAUUUCCGAAUGGGGAAACCCAGUGUGAUUCGUCACACUAUCAUUAACUGAAUCCAUAGGUUAAUGAGGCGAACCGGGGGAACUGAAACAUCUAAGUACCCCGAGGAAAAGAAAUCAACCGAGAUUCCCCCAGUAGCGGCGAGCGAACGGGGAGGAGCCCAGAGCCUGAAUCAGUGUGUGUGUUAGUGGAAGCGUCUGGAAAGGCGUGCGAUACAGGGUGACAGCCCCGUACACAAAAAUGCACAUGCUGUGAGCUCGAUGAGUAGGGCGGGACACGUGGUAUCCUGUCUGAAUAUGGGGGGACCAUCCUCCAAGGCUAAAUACUCCUGACUGACCGAUAGUGAACCAGUACCGUGAGGGAAAGGCGAAAAGAACCCCGGCGAGGGGAGUGAAAAAGAACCUGAAACCGUGUACGUACAAGCAGUGGGAGCCUCUUAAUGGGGUGACUGCGUACCUUUUGUAUAAUGGGUCAGCGACUUAUAUUCUGUAGCAAGGUUAACCGAAUAGGGGAGCCGAAGGGAAACCGAGUCUUAACUGGGCGUUAAGUUGCAGGGUAUAGACCCGAAACCCGGUGAUCUAGCCAUGGGCAGGUUGAAGGUUGGGUAACACUAACUGGAGGACCGAACCGACUAAUGUUGAAAAAUUAGCGGAUGACUUGUGGCUGGGGGUGAAAGGCCAAUCAAACCGGGAGAUAGCUGGUUCUCCCCGAAAGCUAUUUAGGUAGCGCCUCGUGAAUUCAUCUCCGGGGGUAGAGCACUGUUUCGGCAAGGGGGUCAUCCCGACUUACCAACCCGAUGCAAACUGCGAAUACCGGAGAAUGUUAUCACGGGAGACACACGGCGGGUGCUAACGUCCGUCGUGAAGAGGGAAACAACCCAGACCGCCAGCUAAGGUCCCAAAGUCAUGGUUAAGUGGGAAACGAUGUGGGAAGGCCCAGACAGCCAGGAUGUUGGCUUAGAAGCAGCCAUCAUUUAAAGAAAGCGUAAUAGCUCACUGGUCGAGUCGGCCUGCGCGGAAGAUGUAACGGGGCUAAACCAUGCACCGAAGCUGCGGCAGCGACACUAUGUGUUGUUGGGUAGGGGAGCGUUCUGUAAGCCUGUGAAGGUGGCCUGUGAGGGUUGCUGGAGGUAUCAGAAGUGCGAAUGCUGACAUAAGUAACGAUAAAGCGGGUGAAAAGCCCGCUCGCCGGAAGACCAAGGGUUCCUGUCCAACGUUAAUCGGGGCAGGGUGAGUCGACCCCUAAGGCGAGGCCGAAAGGCGUAGUCGAUGGGAAACAGGUUAAUAUUCCUGUACUUGGUGUUACUGCGAAGGGGGGACGGAGAAGGCUAUGUUGGCCGGGCGACGGUUGUCCCGGUUUAAGCGUGUAGGCUGGUUUUCCAGGCAAAUCCGGAAAACCAAGGCUGAGGCGUGAUGACGAAGCACUACGGUGCUGAAGCGACAAAUGCCCUGCUUCCAGGAAAAGCCUCUAAGCAUCAGGUAACAUCAAAUCGUACCCCAAACCGACACAGGUGGUCAGGUAGAGAAUACCAAGGCGCUUGAGAGAACUCGGGUGAAGGAACUAGGCAAAAUGGUGCCGUAACUUCGGGAGAAGGCACGCUGAUAUGUAGGUGAAGCGACUUGCUCGUGGAGCUGAAAUCAGUCGAAGAUACCAGCUGGCUGCAACUGUUUAUUAAAAACACAGCACUGUGCAAACACGAAAGUGGACGUAUACGGUGUGACGCCUGCCCGGUGCCGGAAGGUUAAUUGAUGGGGUUAGCGGUAACGCGAAGCUCUUGAUCGAAGCCCCGGUAAACGGCGGCCGUAACUAUAACGGUCCUAAGGUAGCGAAAUUCCUUGUCGGGUAAGUUCCGACCUGCACGAAUGGCGUAAUGAUGGCCAGGCUGUCUCCACCCGAGACUCAGUGAAAUUGAACUCGCUGUGAAGAUGCAGUGUACCCGCGGCAAGACGGAAAGACCCCGUGAACCUUUACUAUAGCUUGACACUGAACAUUGAGCCUUGAUGUGUAGGAUAGGUGGGAGGCUUUGAAGUGUGGACGCCAGUCUGCAUGGAGCCGACCUUGAAAUACCACCCUUUAAUGUUUGAUGUUCUAACGUUGGCCCGUAAUCCGGGUUGCGGACAGUGUCUGGUGGGUAGUUUGACUGGGGCGGUCUCCUCCUAAAGAGUAACGGAGGAGCACGAAGGUUGGCUAAUCCUGGUCGGACAUCAGGAGGUUAGUGCAAUGGCAUAAGCCAGCUUGACUGCGAGCGUGACGGCGCGAGCAGGUGCGAAAGCAGGUCAUAGUGAUCCGGUGGUUCUGAAUGGAAGGGCCAUCGCUCAACGGAUAAAAGGUACUCCGGGGAUAACAGGCUGAUACCGCCCAAGAGUUCAUAUCGACGGCGGUGUUUGGCACCUCGAUGUCGGCUCAUCACAUCCUGGGGCUGAAGUAGGUCCCAAGGGUAUGGCUGUUCGCCAUUUAAAGUGGUACGCGAGCUGGGUUUAGAACGUCGUGAGACAGUUCGGUCCCUAUCUGCCGUGGGCGCUGGAGAACUGAGGGGGGCUGCUCCUAGUACGAGAGGACCGGAGUGGACGCAUCACUGGUGUUCGGGUUGUCAUGCCAAUGGCACUGCCCGGUAGCUAGAUGCGGAAGAGAUAAGUGCUGAAAGCAUCUAAGCACGAAACUUGCCCCGAGAUGAGUUCUCCCUGAGACUUAGAGUCUCCUGAAGGAACGUUGAAGACGACGACGUUGAUAGGCCGGGUGUGUAAGCGCAGCGAUGCGUUGAGCUAACCGGUACUAAUGAACCGUGAGGCUUAACCUUACAACGCCGAAG
rnacentral:rRNA from 1 species